rnacentral:misc_RNA from 1 species
CCGAACCGUCGACACGAGUUGUUGCUGGUCCUCAAACGGGGGCACGUGCACGCUCUGUCUACUCAUCCACUCACACCUGUGCACCCUCUGUAGUUCUAUGGCUUGUGGGGGACCCCGUCGUCCCUCCUGCCGUGGUUCUAUACCUUUACACACACUCUUUAACAAAGUCUCAUGGAAUGUAUGCCGCGUUUAACGCAAUAAAAUA